UGGCUCAGUGGUAGAGCACUUGCCUUGCGUGCAUGAGGCCCUGGGUUCGAUUCCUCAG
rnacentral:tRNA from 1 species